rnacentral:rRNA from 1 species
GAUGAACGCUGGCGGCGUGCCUAAUACAUGCAAGUCGAGCGAACAGACGAGGAGCUUGCUCCUCUGACGUUAGCGGCGGACGGGUGAGUAACACGUGGAUAACCUACCUAUAAGACUGGGAUAACUUCGGGAAACCGGAGCUAAUACCGGAUAAUAUAUUGAACCGCAUGGUUCAAUAGUGAAAGACGGUUUUGCUGUCACUUAUAGAUGGAUCCGCGCCGCAUUAGCUAGUUGGUAAGGUAACGGCUUACCAAGGCAACGAUGCGUAGCCGACCUGAGAGGGUGAUCGACCGCACUGGAACCUAGACAAGGCCCAGACGACCGCGGCAAGCAGCAGAAGGGACUCUUCCGCAACGGGCGAGUCCCUGGCGGACCAACUCCGGAUGAGUGGUGAAAGGCUUCGGAUCUAAAAACUCUGUGAUUAGGGAAGAACAAAGGUGUAAUUAACCAUUCACGUCUAGACGGUACCUAAUCAGAAAGCCACGGCUAACUACGUG